AACGAACGCUGGCGGCAUGCCUAACACAUGCAAGUCGAACGAGACCUUCGGGUCUAGUGGCGCACGGGUGCGUAACGCGUGGGAACCUGCCCUUAGGUUCGGAAUAACUCAGAGAAAUUUGAGCUAAUACCGGAUAAUGUCUUCUGACCAAACAUUUAUCGCCUUUGGAUGGGCCCGCGUAGGAUUAGCUUGUUGUUGGGGUAAUGGCCUACCAAGGCGACGAUCCUUAGCUGGUCUGAGAGGAUGAUCAGCCACACUGGGACUGAGACACGGCCCAGACUCCUACGGGAGGCAGCAGUGGGGAAUAUUGGACAAUGGGCGAAAGCCUGAUCCAGCAAUGCCGCGUGAGUGAUGAAGGCCUUAGGGUUGUAAAGCUCUUUUACCAGGGAUGAUAAUGACAGUACCUGGAGAAUAAGCUCCGGCUAACUCCGUG
rnacentral:rRNA from 1 species